rnacentral:rRNA from 1 species
GACGAACGCUGGCGGCGUGCUUAACACAUGCAAGUCACGGGGGCCCGUAAGGGCAACCGGCGAACGGGUGCGUAACACGUGAGCGACCUGCCUUUCCGCGGGGGAUAGCCGGCCCAACGGCCGGGUAAUACCGCAUACGCUGCUCGGGGGGCAUCCCUCGAGUAGGAAACCUCCGGGGCGGAGAGAGGGGCUCGCGACCUAUCAGCUAGUUGGCGAGGUAACGGCUCACCAAGGCGGCGACGGGUAGCUGGCUGAGAGGAUGGCCAGCCACAUUGGGACUGAGAUACGGCCCAGACUCCUACGGGAGGCAGCAGUGGGGAAUAUUGCGCAAUGGCCUAACGGCUGACGCAGCGACGCCGCGUGUGGGAGACG